UACGUAGGGGGCAAGCGUUGUCCGGAAUCAUUGGGCGUAAAGCGCGUGUAGGCGGUUCGGUAAGUCUGCUGUGAAAGUCCAGGGCUCAACCCUGGGAUGCCGGUGGAUACUGUCGGACUAGAGUACGGAAGAGGCGAGUGGAAUUCCCGGUGUAGCGGUGAAAUGCGCAGAUAUCGGGAGGAACACCAAUGGCGAAGGCAGGUCUCUGGGCCACAACUGACGCUGAGGAGCGAAAGCGUGGGGAGCGAACAGG
rnacentral:rRNA from 1 species